rnacentral:rRNA from 1 species
ACGAACGCUGGCGGCGUGCUUCACACAUGCAAGUCGAACGGUGAAGCGCCUUCCUUUUUGGUGGGUGUGGAUGAGUGGCGAACGGGUGAGUAACACGUGAGUAACCUGCCCCCUUCUUCUGGAUAACCGCAUGAAAGUGUGGCUAAUACGGGAUAUUCUGGGUCUGUCGCAUGAUGGGUCUGGGAAAGAUAUUGUUUCGGUGGGGGAUGGGCUCGCGGCCUAUCAGCUUGUUGGUGGGGUGAUGGCCUACCAAGGCGGUGACGGGUAGCCGGCCUGAGAGGGUGGACGGUCACACUGGGACUGAGACACGGCCCAGACUCCUACGGGAGGCAGCAGGGGGGAAUAUUGCACAAUGGGCGCAAGCCUGAUGCAGCGACGCCGCGUGAGGGAUGGAGGCCUUCGGGUUGUGAACCUCUUUCGCCAGUGAAGCAGGCCUGCCUCGUUUGUGGGUGGGUUGACGGUAGCUGGAUAAGAAGCGCCGGCUAACUACGUG